UGGUUUAUGUUUCAAAUAAUUUAUUGCCGUAGGAUGGGACUGCGGCCUAUCAGUUUGUUGGUGAGGUAAUGGCCCACCAAGACUAUUACAGGUACGGGCCGUGAGAGCGGUAGCCCGGAGAUGGGCACUGAGACAAGGGCCCAGGCCCUACGGGGCGCAGCAGUCGCGAAAACUCCGCAAUGCACGAAAGUGUGACGGGGCUACCCCGAGUGCCGUCCGCUGAGGAUGGCUUUUCCUCGGUGUAACUAGCCGGGGGAAUAAGGAGAGGGCAAGACUGGUGUCAGCCGCCGCGGUAAUACCAGCUCUCCGAGUGGUAGGGAUGAUUAUUGGGCUUAAAGCGACCGUAGCUUGCUUAGCAAGUCUCCUGUUAAAUUCAGCGACCUAAUCGUUGAGCCGCGGGAGAUACUACUAAGCUAGGAGGCGGGAGAGGUCGACGGUACUUU
rnacentral:rRNA from 1 species